CCUCGUCCCCAACUCACCCAAUAAGAGGGUUGGGGACGUGGAAAGUUCAAUGUCCCCAACCCUCUUAUUGGGUGAGUUAGGAACCACG
rnacentral:pre_miRNA from 1 species